AAGAAAAAAGGUGGUCACAUGACAUGCGCAAGUAAACAGAAACGCUCGUAUUAAUCUAACAAAUAUUUAAAUUGAAACAACAUGAAGGGUUUGUUCUGCCAAAUUACUGGCAGCGAGCUCAAAUUCGUCGUCCAGGAAACGACCCUUCCUGAGAUCUUCGGCAGUCAUGACGUCAGAGUGAACGUAAAAGCGUGUGGUCUCAGCCCAGUGGACCUCAAGUUUUUGGAAGACAUGGGGCUGCAGGGAGAUACGAUUCCCCUCGGCAGGGAGAUGGCGGGCAUUGUACAACGAGUCGGUCCAAAAGUCACUUUCUUCCAACCCGACGACGAAGUUGUGGGUAUUCUACCGCUGGACUCCGUCUGCUCGGGACUCAGCGAGGUCAUUGACAUAAAUGAGCAGUAUCUAGUCCCAAAGCCGGAGAAGCUGAGCUGCACCACCGUGGCCGCGGCAUUAGAAGACGGCCUGUGUGCGUACCGUGCCCUCCACACGCACGCUCACAUGGCAGCUGGUCAGAUGCUCCUGGUGAUGGACGGCGCCAGCUCUUUUGGCCUGAUGUGCAUCCAGCUGGCGUGCUACCACGGUGUGAAGGUUCUGACCACAUCACACUCGCAGGAGCAGCACACUUUCUUGGAGCAGCUAAGGCCCGCUGUAGUGAGGGUGAUUCCCAUCUACAAAAACUCAUCGGAGCUUCUUGCGGCAGUUAUGGAGGAGACAGGCUGUCUGGGAGUGGACAUAGUUGUCGACCAAGGCGUUAGUCUGCAAGAAAAGGAGAUCCCAGACGAGGAGGAGGGGAGAGAGGAGGCGACGUUCCUCCCACACAAGCAUGACAUCAUCAGUAUGUUGGCAGUGGGGGGCCACUGGGUGACGUCCCAACAAGACUUGCAACUAGAUCCUCCUGACACCCGGUUAAUGUUCUUGAAGUCUGCCUCCGUGUCAUUCCUCAACCCUCACGUGUGGUUGGCGUCGUCAUUCCAGCAGGGACGACACCUCCAUAUUCUCAAGGACAUUAUGGAGAAGAUGUCCUCUGGAGUACUCAGACCUCAGCCCGAGGAGGCAGUUCCUCUACGGGAAGCGGCGGCCGCCAUGGAGGACGUGCAACUUCAGAACAAGAAAAAGGCUGUGGUUGAAAUGUAACGACGGCUUGAGUUAGGUGGCGGGACUGUCGACCAAGUGACGGGGCCAAUGGAAGCGGGAGCAACAGCCUUCUCUUUCUAAUCACGUAGCAACGUGCUUGUCGCCACAGUUGUGUUGAGCUUGUCAAUCAGUCAAUAGUUGGCCACAUCAAGUACAGUCUUGCCGCUGAACAUGCCCGACACUUGGCUCUAUUUCAGUGAGAUUUUUUUUUUUUCUUGCUGGUCUCUCUCUGCGGGGCACACAGUGUCCACCAUGCUGUACAAAAACAUGUUCAAUAAAGCCCAAGCGUCUUGCGUGAAGCCGCAGAGACUGGACCAGCUGCAGCUGCUCCAGGAGCAAGGGCGCCCCCUGUUGGAGAAGACUGGAGAUCUGGAUAGAAAAAGACGAUUACUGUGGUGGCUAGCGAUAAAAUACAAUUCAUAACUUA